CUGCCUCUUUGCUCUGUUCCCAUUUUGCUUUCCAAAGGACUUUGGCUGAGCACAGGAACUCCACCACCCGACGUCUGACCCCAUUCACACCGCUCAGUGGGGUGAUGUGAGCAGCAUUGCCCCGGGCAUGCGUUGGUUGCCAUGAGCUCAGAGCAGCGCCGGAGUUCCAUCAUGCUCACAAUCCAGCUCCUGGCCAUAGGAUGCAGACAGCGCUCUUCUGCUCCCUCCCUGCUUUCCCUCGGGCCCCAUAAGCGCACUGCAAACAGACACCAAGGGAGCAUUUGGACUCUUUUCUUUUAUUGAGAUUGGCUGCUCCUUAGAAGCUGCAGUGCAUUACACCGACACACCCACAAGCACGGGGCACUGCGUACCCCUCCCCACGCUCCUGUUCUUGUGACACAGUGGGAGGAAGAGCAUGGAGGGCUCCAUGAUGGUCACACAGGAACAAGGACAGCGGAUGGUCUGUGCGCAGACUUCUUUCCAGCAUGACUUGUUGCUGGUAUCUCAUAAAUUAAGCCAAAGGGUUUUUCAGAGGGACAUGGUUAGUGGCCAUGGUGGGGAUGGGUUGGGGUUGGGGAUCUUGGAAUUCUUUUCUGGCCUUAAUGGCUCUAUGAGUGCGAAUAGGAGGAUGAGAUGAUGGUUGGACUUGGUGGGUCUUCUCCUUAAUAAUUCAAGGAUUCUAUGAGUGGGCAUAGUGGAGAGGGUUGGGCUUGGACUUGGUGACCUCAGAGGUCAUUUCCAACCUCAGUGGUUCUAUGAUACUAUGAAAAAUGGACGUUUCCACAAGGAGCAUCUCUGCCUCUGGCCUGGGAGCUCAGCCUGGUAUCAAAAACCCAUCAGGCGCUGCCUGGGACCACUUUGACUUGGUUGCCUUUGGAAACCACUGCUGAGUGACAAGCUGACAGCUCUGCGGAGCAGCAUCUGUCUGGAGGAAAGGAAAGAGAUCACUGCUUUAUUAUUAUUUAUUUCUACUAGGAAUAAUAGGCACACGAGCUGUGGCACAGCCUCACUCCUACACGGAAGCAGUCAAUUUGGUGAUCCCGGCGGAGCAAGCCAGGCAUUGUGAGAGGUACUGCUGCUCUGCAUUUAAAAAGCAGCAGGAAGAUGCUUCCUGAUAACGGGGAUAAUGGAAUGCUCUCUCCUCCUUGAGUGGCAAUGGCUGAAGAUGAACUUCUCCAACCCAAUGAGAGCCUCCAACGGGGACUUCUCCCAACAAUUAAUGCUGAGCGGCGUCGGGGCCGCGUCCCAGUCCAUCUGCAUUCCUGCACACCUCUGCUUCGCGCUGUCAGCUGCUCAUGGUCUCUCUGGUGGAUGGAUGUGAUUACAUUGCUGUAACUAAUUUGGCAGUAUGUGCUCAAAAUCUCAGCUGACGGAGCUCGUGGCCCCGCGACCGCGUUGCAGCAGAUGGCACCGAUUCGCGGCCGCCGCGGUGACACGGGGACCCCGCUCUGCUCUCAGCCCUGGGCAGUUCCAGCAGUUUUCCUUCUGGAUGGCGGCACGGGGCCAGGCGUCAGAUGGACAGAAGGUGCGAGGUUCAGAUCCGCGCUGCCAUCAGCCCUCGCCCCACUUCACACCGCUGCAGAUUCCCAUCAGCGGAUGCGGCAGGAGGAGGCGUUUGCUGGGAAACCCCCAUGGGACGUGUGGAGGGGUGGAGGGAUCCCUGUGACUCCAUCCAGGCUCUCUUCACUGGGUCUAUUCCCCAGUGAUGUGGCAGAGUUGGGCGCCCAUGGGUGCCCUUCGGUCCUUGAAUAUGGGAUGACCAACAGAGAAGUCCCUUUUGGAGUCACCAUUCAACACCCCAAUUUGCUGUGGGUCUCAAAGCAGGAGUCACCUCGUGGGCACUGUGGGGUUGAAGUGUUGCCAGGUCCAGCAGGCACAAAGCAUUUUUAAUUGAAAAUGAGUUGUGAGGGACUCUGCAGGCUGCACCACGCACGGUGCAGGCUGAACUGCGCCCUUGGAUGCUGCCCUAUUGCUUGGGGCAGCCUUUGUGGGCAGAAAGGCAGGGUAAAUCCUGCCCCAUGGGUGACACAAGGGUGAGCUGCAUGGGGGAGAUGGGGGCAGAGAGCCCAGUGCUUCCCUCCUGCAGCAGGUUUUCCUGCAUGAAUGUCCCUUAGCAACCGAAGUGGUUCCUGAAGUGUUCGUGUUCCUGGUUCUCCUCCAUGAGAGGUUUAUUCUAAGGAGAGCAGCUCUCUGAGCUCGGUGAGCACAGUGGGAUCCGUUAUCCCCACUUGGGCAGCAUCUGCAUCAUGGUCAUGUGCUGCUGUGAGCUCUAUGAAAUGCCCUGGGGCAUGUAAGCAAGAUUCAUAGAAUCAUGGAACAUCCCGAAUUGGAUGGAAUCAAGUCCAUCCCCUGUCCCCACCCAGCACCCAAAAUACAAACCCAGGGUCUUAGAGCGGUGUCCCGGCACUCCAGCAGCUCUGGGCUAUGCCUGCUGCCCUGGGGAGCCGUUCCGUGCCCACCAUCCUCUGCUGCAGAACCUUUUCUUAAUACCCACCUGACCCUCCCCUGACGCAUCUCUGUGCCAUGAGUUGGCUGUAGGCCAUGAGUUGGCCAUGGGCCACCAUGAGUUGGCCAUAGACCGCCAUGGUGGAGCUGUAGGCCACCAUGAGCCUUUUUGCCUACACAGUGUGAACCCUUUGUGUUCCAGAUGAUCUUCGAACUCUCCCUUCCUGGGCACUUCAUUAAAUAAAAUUAAAAUUAAUUAAAAAAAAAAAAAAAAAAGAGCCUGUUUAGCAAUUUGAGAUGAUUGAAACUCCGUGGUUGGAAAAAAAAAGAGAAUACCCAAUUCCCCAGCCCCAAAAAAAAGUAGUUUAGACAAUAUAAAUGGGUUUAGACUUAUCAUCUCAACCUCUGAGGACGUGUUCAGCGCGGCGCAGAAAUGAACAAUCACCACAAUUCCUCACACAGAAAUCCCAGUGCUGCUGUCGCGUUGUCACCUCUGUGAUGCUGCACGACAUCGACAUCUCGCCGCGGUGCAACCGGUGCUGAUGAUGUGGAUUCUGCUGUAGCCAAAGGGAAAAUAUGUGCUGAAAUCUCCGGGGUUGGCUGCCGGCCCUUCAUGGCUUCAAAGCAGCGCUGAGGUCGGGAGGGGGGGGUGAAGAUCUCCAGAAUCCCAGGAGAGAUUUUCAGCUGCUUCAGGGAGGAAAAGGCUUUGGAUUAAGCUCAUCGGUGGGGAAACACAAUGCCUUCGGGCACCGCGUUGCUCAUUUGUUCCUUUGAGCCGUGCAUUUACCCACUGCUGUUUGGGUGAGUGUAGCUGUGCCCGAAGAAAGCUCUCUUUGGAAAGCCUUUGGAAAACAAAUCUGUCCUUUAUCAGUAGGCAUUCUUAGGCUGAUUCCAAAAUUAACCAAUUCGCCACUUGAUACCUGGCAUUUUGUUGGGCUUACGGCACGCAGCUGCUCAGAGAAAUCAAGAUUCUAUGACUCCAUGAAAUCCCUUUGGCCUCCUUUUUCACCAUUCCUUCUCAUGGGACUCUCCAGCCAACAGAACACACAAAGGUGCUUUGGUGUUUGGCUGGAGCCAUCCCAGAGCGCUCAGCUUCAGCCAUUUCCACCCAGGGGCUGCGUGAGAUGAAAUGUGUGCCUACAAACACUGAUCUUUUUCCUGCUUGUUUCAGUUUUAGGGGUUGAGGAAAUAAAGCAAAGCGCCCUCAGUCUCCUCACCAGGCUGAGAGGCUGUUUGUUUUAUAUACAGUGUUUUUUUCCCUGAAUCAAACUGUACACUCAUCAGAAAACGGACCUUGCUGUUUGAUGUAUGCUGGAAAGUGCCACGCGCGUUUAUUGUGCUGUAUAAAUAAAAUAUAAUAAUGCUGAGACUCAAGGACUCCCAUGGAGUCAUUCAGAAACGAGGCAGAGGGCCAGGGAAUGGAUUUGGACAAGAUUCAGGGGAGGGAAAGAUGGUUGGUUUUGUUUAUUUUAAGCAGGAAAAGAUGAGAAAGAGAGCGCUACCUGCCCCCAGAAACAGGUCCUGAGCUGCCAGUGCUCAGCACAACACCUUGAGGCUGAUGAAUGGGAAUUUCCAUCAGUCUUCAUUGAUCAUCUGGACAACGGGCAAAAAAAACAUAAUAUGAGAAUGCCAGACAGCGCUGCUGAAAACCAGUGACAUGAGUGUUUGAUGAGCUCCGCUUUCACAGUAUAUUGGGAAGAAAUGGGUAACAAAGCUGAAAAAACGUUAACCUCGUGUAAAAGAGACGUGCAUGUUUGGUGUUACCCUACUUGGAGCAGUGAUUCGGUGCAAGCGACCUCUUUUCCACGAGCAACCCCAAACCAGGACCUAUUUCUGGGCACUGCAUCCCUGCUUGAGCAAUCCUGGCGGAGCACUGAUCCCCAGCUCAGCCUCAGCAAUGGUUUCUCCUAGCCAUGGAGCCACCACUACCAACUUGCCCGGCAUCCUUAGAACCAUCGAAUCAUAGAAUCAAUAAGGCUAGAAAAGACCACUAAGAACAUCAAGACCAACCAUCAGCCCAUUGCCACAAAGUCUUGAUGUUGGGUUGAUCCCUGCACAGGGGCAGGAAGGCUCCCCACUGAACCCAACCCCAUCUGAGCCACCACGGACAGCUCCACAGCGGUGCACCCCAAUGGCAGCGGCUGCCGUAGCGUUGCCUUCCUUUGACAUUUCCAUGCAUUCUCUUUUUCUUGUUGAAACUGCAGUCUUGCAGACUGAAACCUUUGUAUGAUUUGAUGAAUUUCCAGAAGGCACUUACUUCCCUGGGCAUCACGUGACUGCAGAAGUGGGGCACCAGCAACGCUGCUGCGAGCCCAGUGAAUUGUCGGGUCUCAGUGUAAUUAUAAGUGAGGAAUUAUCGGGAGAUGAACGUGUUUCUACUGGUGCAUCUCAGGGAUAUCUCUGGUUCUGAGAUCUCACGCUCCAUCCCCCCCUCUCCCACACGUGGUUGCAGCCAAAAAAUAAGUAAAAUAAAAGCUUUGUGCCUU
ensembl:lncRNA